rnacentral:rRNA from 1 species
GACGGGGGCCCGCACAAGCGGAGGAACAUGUGGUUUAAUUCGAUGAUACGCGAGGAACCUUACCCGGGCUCAAACGCGCAGAGACAGUUGCGGAAACGCAAUCUCCCCUCGGGGCCCUGUGCGAGGUGCUGCAUGGUUGUCGUCAGCUCGUGCCGUGAGGUGUCGGCUUAAGUGCCAUAACGAGCGCAACCCCCAUCUUCAGUUGCCACCGUGUGAUGGCGGGCACUCUGGAGAGACUGCCGGCGCAAGCUGUGAGGAAGGCGGGGAUGACGUCAAAUCAGCACGGCCCUUACGUCCGGGGCGACACACGUGUUACAAUGGCGGGGCACAGAAGGAAGCCAGGCGGCGACGCCGAGCCGAUCCCCAAAACCCGUCUCAGUUCGGAUCGGAGUCUGCAACCCGACUCCGUGAAGCUGGAUUCGCUAGUAAUCGCGCAUCAGCCAUGGCGCGGUGAAUACGUUCCCGGGCCUUGUACACACCGCCCGUCAAGCCAUGGAAGCCUGGAGUGCCUGAAGUGCGUGACCGCGAGGAGCGCCCAAGGGUAAGACAGGUGACUGGGGUUAAGUCGUAACAAGG